AAAAUAACCCCCACUCCACCACUGACACCAACCGAGCUCUACAUCAUCUCACCACCCAACACCAUCUGCGUCAACUGAACCACCACCUGCACCUACACCACCACCCCCUCAAAACUCUGACUAAGUAGUAGAUCUGAUUAAAAAAACCAACCACCAACAACAGAUCGGAUUAGAAAAAUUAUUGGCAAACUCCAUCAACCACCAACAAAUGCAGUUGCACACGGAGGAAGAAGAAACCACCACGUAAAAAUCGCGAUGUUGCUACUCGUGGUGGCACAACGGUGGUCAAUGUUGCUUCGCAAGAUACUGUGCCGACGCACGCAGUUGCACACCGCCAAUUUGCCAUACUUAAUAAGCAGCAACAGCGACGAUUGAAACGAUCUGUGGAUGGUAUGAGCUAUGGACGGGACGUGGGUGGUGGUGGUGCAAGUGGUGAUAAUGUGGCCGUGGAGGUGAUGGUUAGGCGGCCAUGGCGACGGUUGUUAAUUCGAAUAAAGAGAGAAAAAUAGAGAGGGAGGAAAAGAGGAUAAUGAUGUUAGGGUUUGGAAGGAUGGG
rnacentral:lncRNA from 1 species